UGGGGAAUUUUGGACAAUGGGGGAAACCCUGAUCCAGCCAUCCCGCGUGUGCGAUGAAGGCCUUCGGGUUGUAAAGCACUUUUGGCAGGAAAGAAACGUCAUGGGUUAAUACCCCGUGAAACUGACGGUACCUGCAGAAUAAGCACCGGCUAACUACGUGCCAGCAGCCGCGGUAAUACGUAGGGUGCAAGCGUUAAUCGGAAUUACUGGGCGUAAAGCGUGCGCAGGCGGUUCGGAAAGAAAGAUGUGAAAUCCCAGAGCUCAACUUUGGAACUGCAUUUUUAACUACCGGGCUAGAGUGUGUCAGAGGGAGGUGGAAUUCCGCGUGUAGCAGUGAAAUGCGUAGAUAUGCGGCGGAACACCGAUGGCGAAGGCAGCCUCCUGGGAUAACACUGACGCUCAUGCACGAAAGCGUGGGGAGCAAACAGG
rnacentral:rRNA from 1 species